UCUGCAUGUAGCUUAGCUGGAUUGAGCGCUGUACCGUAAUCGCAGGGGUGCAGGUUCGAGUUCUGCCGGGGGAA